rnacentral:rRNA from 1 species
GAUGAACGCUGGCGGCGUGCCUAAUACAUGCAAGUCGAGCGAACGGACGAGAAGCUUGCUUUUCUGAUGUUAGCGGCGGACGGGGGAGUAACACGUGGAUAACCUACCUAUAAGACUGGGAUAAACUCGUGAAACCGGAGCUAAUACCGGAUAAUAUUUUCAACCGCAUGGUUCAAGAGUGAAAGACGGUCUUGCUGUCACUGAUAGAUGGAUCCGCUCUGCAUUAGCUAGUUGGUAAGGUAACGGCUUACCAAGGCAACGAUGCAUAGCCGACCUGAGAGGGUGAUCGGCCACACUGGAACUGAGACACGGUCCAGACUCCUACGGGAGGCAGCAGUAGGGAAUAUUCCGCAAUGGGCGAAAGCCUGACGGAGCCACGCCGCGUGAGUGAUGAAGGUCUUCGGAUCGUAAAACUCUGUUAUUAGGGAAGAACAUAUGUGUAAGUAACUGUGCACAUAUUGACGGUACCUACUCAGAAAGCCACGGCUAACUACGUG